ACUCCUACGGGAGGCAGCAGUGGGGAAUAUUGGACAAUGGGCGCAAGCCUGAUCCAGCCAUGCCGCGUGAGUGAUGAAGGCCCUAGGGUUGUAAAGCUCUUUCACCGGUGAAGAUAAUGACGGUAACCGGAGAAGAAGCCCCGGCUAACUUCGUGCCAGCAGCCGCGGUAAUACGAAGGGGGCUAGCGUUGUUCGGAUUUACUGGACGUAAAGCGCACGUAGGCGGACUAUUAAGUCAGGGGUGAAAUCCCGGGGCUCAACCCCGGAACUGCCUUUGAUACUGGUAGUCUUGAGUUCGAGAGAGGUGAGUGGAAUUCCGAGUGUAGAGGUGAAAUUCGUAGAUAUUCGGAGGAACACCAGUGGCGAAGGCGGCUCACUGGCUCGAUACUGACGCUGAGGUGCGAAAGCGUGGGGAGCAAACAGGAUUAGAUACCCGGGUAGUCCC
rnacentral:rRNA from 1 species